GAAGGAGUCUUGAUUUAUUGAAAAUGGAUGAACACCUGUCUACUGAUGGGGAGUAAUUAAUUAAUUUAUUUUUUAAAUUUUUUUGCAUGUACACUGUUUGCUUUACUUAUCAUAUUGUCUUUAUCUUAACUCACAAGUUUUUCCACUUUUCCCCCUCCAAUUCUCUCUUCCAUCCUGUUUUGGGACAGUGACUGGGUAACUGUGAGGGUCUUAACUGCCUACUGAGAUUAAACCUCAACAACUAAAAAAGGGUUUUGUUCAGUUGCAUAAAAAUAGUUUAGCACUGGCAGGGUUUAAUGUGGUCAAGGUCAAUAUUUGAGAUUCUCUGUAGUAAUAAGAUGGAUAUAUUGAUUAUUGCCGUAAGGAUAUACACUUGCUUUAGCUGAAAUGUCAUUGCCCUCUGCAAGAUGCCUGCCUUUGAGCAACUUGUCAAAAUGCAUGACAUGAAAAUAUUAUUUAUAUAUUCAAAUAGAAAUAGAGACUUAUUUUAGUCUAUAAUAUGCUCAAAGAGUUCUGUUGAAAUAAGAACUUUGAAAAAUGCGCAAUGACCAAAAGUAAGCCACUCAGACUGUUACAGCUCUUGUUGUAAAUGGAGGAGUUUACACAACUAUCUCUUGGCACUACAAACUUGCCAGAGGCAAAUUUGGAUUCAGCAGUUAUUAUAGUUAAUGUCUGAAAGGGGAGCUAAGACAAUUGACAAGUAACCAAUUCUUGCCUGGAAAUGUGUGAAUGUAAUGUUUAAAAGUAGUAUGAAAAAGCAAAUAACUGGAGAUUAGGACCUGAAAAUAACAUGAGAAAGGAACGAGAACAUAAGAUGAAGGAGAUAUUGAAAUAAUUCAAAAUAAUAUUUCAUUGCAAAGCCCAUGUAGCUCUCAGACCAAAACACCAAGGAAAUUAAGCUGUCAUGGUAAAUCAGAGUAAUGUAUGUAUUAAGGAUGUUUGUGAGAGAGAAAAAGAUGGUGACUGAAAUGUGUGACAGUAAAUUGGGAUUCUCCAAAAGGCCUGUAGAAUCAGGUGCCAAAAUUUUGAGUCCUCUGCAGAAUGACUACACCAGAGAAGGAAAACUUACCCCCCAUGAAGAGCCCCAUAUGUUCUGUUGUUAUUCAUAAGUUGGUUUUUGCUGUUUGUUUUCUCAGAAAAUUAGUGACUUUCUACAAAAAGGUUACAGCAUCGGUGGAUGAAGAGGGACACCAUAUACAUGGACUUGUGCAAAUCAUUAUACACUGUCCCAUGCAACAUGGUUGUCUCUAAAAUUGAGACACAGGACUUUACAGGUCAACCAUUUCAUGUACUGUGAAUCUUCUGGACGGUGAUAUGCAAAGAUUUGCAGUCAAUAGCCUGAUAUCUGGCUGAAGAAUAGUGACAAGCAGCAUCCCUUGGGGUUUGGCAUUUGGACUAAUAUUAUUUAGUGUCUUUGUCAGGGAUGUGAACAGUGAGAUUGGGUGUACCCUCAGCAAGUUUGUGGAUGACACCAAGCUUGGUGCUGCAAUCAAUGAACUUGAGUGAAGGUAUGCUAUCCAUGGAGAUCUUGAAGCUUGAGAAGUGGGCCCAUGAGAACCUCAUGAGGUUCAACAGGGCCAAGUGCAGUUCCUGAGUAAAGGCAAUCAAAAACAGGUUAUGUGAUGAGUGGAUUGAAAGCAGCCCUGCAAAGAAGCACUUGGGAGUAUUGGUAGAUAAGGAGCUCAAGAUGUCCUGGCGAAGUGUUCUUGCAGCCCAGAAAGCUCACUGCAUAGUGGGCUGCACCAAAAGCAGUGUGGCUGACAGGUCGAGGGCAAUGAUUCUCUCCCUGUAUACUCUGUUACUGUGAGAGUCCUGGAGUUCUGUGCCCAAUUCUGUGGUCUCCAACACAAGAAAGACAUGGACCUACUUGAGCAGGUCCAGAAGAGGGCCAUGAAGAUAGAGGACCUCUGCUAUGAAGACAGGUUGAUCAGCCUGAGAAGACCUUCAAGCAACUUUCAGAUGACACCAAGCAGAGGGGUGCACUUGUCACACCUGAAGGACAAGAUGCCAUCCAGUGAGACCUAGAUAAGGUCUUGAAUUGAGCCAAUGGAAAUCUCAUGAGGUUCAACAAGUCCAAGUGGAAGGUGCUGCACCUGCAUCAGGGCAAUCCCAGACAUGAGCAGAGACGGGGAUAAGAACUCAUUGUGAGGAGCCCUGCACAGAAGGACUUGGAGUUCUAAUGAAUAGAAGCUGGACAUGAGCCAACAGUGUGCACUUGCAACUCAGAAAGCCAACAGGAUCCUGGGCUGCAUCAAAAGAAAUGUGAGCAACAGGUGGAGGGAGGUGAUAAAACAAGGGGUAAUGACUUUAAACUAGAAGAGAGUAGGUUUAGUUCAGGUAUUACAAUGAAAUUCUUUGUAAUGAGGCUGGUGACAGUCUGGAACAGGGCUGUCCAGAGACGUUGCAGAUGCCCCUUUUGCAGAAAUGCUUACUUAAAGGCCAGGUUAAAUGGGGCUUUAAGCAGCCUGGUCUAGUGAAAUGGUCCCCUUCCUACUGGAGGGUUGGAACUGGAUGAUUUUUAAGGUCCCUUCCAGCCUGAGCUGUUUUAUGAUCCUACGAUUCUGUGAUUAGUCUCUUCUUGGUCGUUAUCCUUUUUUCUUUUCCAUUUUCCUAAUUUUCUAUUUUCCUUUCUACUUUCUCCUGUUAAGUUGUACUACAGGAUGGAUUAAAAAGAAAC